rnacentral:rRNA from 1 species
GUUUCGAGUCCGACCCCGGUGAGGAGGCAGAAGUCGUAACAAGGUGGCCGCACGGGAACGUGUGGCCGGAUCACCUCCA